AUGCAUUCUAUUCACUGUGCCAUCUAACUAAAUAGAUGAUCAGAGGGGAAAAGAAGAGCUAGAUUGAAGUUCAUGAGCGUCCUCAUACUGAAUAGGGUAGAAACUAUUAAAUGGCCCUAGUUGGUAACUGCGCAAGCGAUACAGA